AUUAACCUUCACCAAUUCUUCCAAACUAAGUCAGAUCCCAAUAUGCUGUGUUUAUAGUAUUCUGUCUUCUGAGUCUUAUUACAGUUUUUACACUCUACAUUUGUUAUCUGAUUAAUUUUUGUCUGUUCUUCCAGGAAGAGUAUAUCCCAUGUAGAUGGAGAAGAUACUUGCUUUUCCUAAUACUUAAUUAGCAGCUUGUAACACAAGGUCUAGCAUCAAACAUCAAACUGCCAAAGACAGAAAAUUAUUUACUGAUGUACAUUAUUUGACAAACUAUUCAAAGGAAUGACCCCACUAUUUAUGCAGUUUUAAGCAGAGAAGGAGAGUCUCCAGGAACUAUACGAAUUAAUCAACUUGAGCAAUCAGCCUGUUUUACAGCCUCCUGCCUUGGAGACUACUUUUUCCAAAACUCUAUGUGGGAUGUGGUCACCUAGUUGGUUGGAACCAGCUCCUGACAGACCCCAGCAACUGACAGAUGAACCUGAGUGAACUUUCCUCAUUAUCAUGCUAAAGUCUCCAUCCCGAAAGGAACUAUAGCUUCAUUACCAGAACAUGCAACCUUUGUGCUGGCAUAAAGGCUCACUGCGUCUAAAGCAACUGGGACCCGUCCCGUACAUGUGAUGAUGCACACUCUCCUCUCUCCAUAGCGCCAUAAACUCUCUCAGGGAGACACUGCUUUGAGGAAUGCUUCCUUACUUGUGCUAAGUAAUAAAACUCCUAUUGAUUAAAAUUUACAUUCUUGUGGAUUCGUUUGUUACUGGACAAGUGAGUGAAUUCAUUUUUUUUCAGGUUAGUCAUCAAAAUAAACUUUGUGGAUAUGAUUGUACAUUACUUAUUCUUUUAUUCUCAUACCUCCAUUUAUAUUCAUGUUCUGUUAAUUCUACAUUCCUAAAGAAUUAAACUUUCUCUUCCAAAAGAUCUAUUAUGGCCUUUAUACAAUGUCUUUAUAAUUUUCUAUGAGAACUAUUGAAGUAGCUGCCUAAUUAAUAUCUCCGUCUUAGGUUUGUAACCUUUUUGUUCAUUUUCUAGUCUUCUAUCAAAGUAAUCUUUCUCAAAUAUAAAUCUGGUCAUAUUUGUUCCAUGCUUACAUCUCUUUGAUUACUUCCCAUUAUCUACUAAAAAAUGUUCAAAUGUCUGGCUCGAGAAACAUGAUCUUCUUGAUGAUUUUGCUGGCUUUUUCAUCUUCAUUUUCUACUUGUGACCCCUUGAAUCCAACAAACCAGUUAUAAUAAAGCAUGCUUUUCUUCAUCAUUUGCUACCUUUUCAUGGAAUAUCUUAUCCUUUGCCCUCCAUUUCCCUUAUAUCUUCUCUUUGUAGAUCAAGUUCAAGCAAUAUGUUCUCUGUGAAGUUUUUCCUGACUAGUCCUAAUGCAACUACCUCUCAAAGUUAUGUUAAUAGCAGACCUUCCCUUUACAUAACUCCAUGCUAUACAGACCUCUCUUAUAUUACCUACAGUAUAUUUCCAUGUUUUUUUAUCUUGCUAGCCUGUAAGACCUCUAAGGCUAUUACUCAUUUUUGUAAUAUCAAAAGUACAAGUUAUAUAUGGUAUGUAAUGAGUGAUUAAAACAUUUGUUGAACGAUUUUACAUGUGUGUCUAAAAUGCAGCGUUGGUUCC
rnacentral:lncRNA from 10 species